rnacentral:rRNA from 1 species
AGUCGGACGGGAUUUUCCGUUGUAGCAAUACGAUGGAAAGUCUAGUGGCGAACGGGUGCUUAACACGUGGGCAACCUGCCAGGAAGUGGGGGAUAGCUCGCCGAAAGGCGAAUUAAUACCGCAUGUGAUUAGAGAGGACAUCCCUUCGAAAUUAAAGUCGGGGCAACCUGACGCUUCCUGUGGGGCCCGCGGCCUAUCAGCUAGUUGGUGAGGUAACGGCUCACCAAGGCUUUGACGGGUAGCUGGUCUGAGAGGACGACCAGCCACACUGGGACUGAGACACGGCCCAGACACCUACGGGUGGCAGCAGUCGAGAAUUUUUGACAAUGGGGGAAACCCUGAUCGAGCGACGCCGCGUGGAGGAUGAAGGUCUUCGGAUUGUAAACUCCUGUCAUUGGGGAACAAGGUGCAUACGUUAACUGCGUGUGCAUUGAUAGUACCCGAAGAGGAAGAGACGGCUAACUCUGUGCCAGCAGCCGCGGUAAUACAGAGGUCUCAAGCGUUGUUCGGAUACAUUGGGCGUAAAGGGUGCGUAGGCGGCGCGGUAAGUCGGGUGUGAAAUCUCGGAGCUUAACUCCGAAACUGCAUUCGAUACUGCCGUGCUUGAGGACUGGAGAGGAGACUGGAAUUUACGGUGUAGCGGUGAAAUGCGUAGAUAUCGUAAGGAAGACCAGUGGCGAAGGCGGGUCUCCGGACAGUUCCUGACGCUGAGGCACGAAGGUCAGGGGAGCAAACGGGAUUAGAUACCCCGGUAGUCCUGACAGUAAACGGUGCACGUUUGGUGUGGGGAGGAUUC